AUACUGCAUACUGCUUUAAAGCGCCAAGAAGCGCUCCGGUUCUGGCUGGCAUAAAAACGAAGGCUUGAGCGAGCACGUGGUCAUUCUCAUUUCAAGAUUCGACAAUACUUGAAACAUUUUUCGGUUGGAGUUUGUUGGAGCAUGCCAAAAGUAAGGAUUCAAAAGACAGCAAUUGCAGGUCAAGAAAAUUGUUAAGUAUUAAAAAAUCAGUAGUAGAGCUGUUGCUUAGGAGUGUUACUAGAGGUGUUACUUAUUACUGAAAAGAAGAAACAGUAAUAUUACAAACCUCAGGUGUCCAAGUAUAAUUAAAUAAUGGAGAAGAAAAGGGAUCCACGAUGGAUUAUGAGGGAGCAUGAAUGUUUUGAAGAAUAUGCGUAUAACACAUCAGACAAGUCAACGGCACUUGAGAAAUUUAUAAAGAAGUUAAAGAUAAAUAUAGUACGCGAAGAGGACAAAGAAAUAGAAUUCGAUUUAAUUGGCUGCCAUACUUCGCUAGCUAAUGCAUUUCGUAGGAUACUUCUAAGUGAAGUGCCAAGUAUGGCUGUUGAGCAGGUGUACAUCAUAAAUAAUACUAGCUUGCUCCAAGACGAAGUACUUGCACAUAGAUUGGGCCUUAUACCUCUUCGUGCAGACCCUAGAUUAUUUGAGUAUCCUUCGAACAACGGGAGAGCGGAUGAUGAGGUUAGUGAUCAAGAUACUCUAAGAUAUGAGUUGAAGGUCACGUGUAGUGUGAAUCCACAAGCGCCAAAGAACUCUCGUCUUCCAGAGGAUAUGUACAGGAAUAGCAAAGUUUGCAGUAAGGAUAUUAAAUGGGUGCCGAUAGGUCGGCAAGCAGAUAUGUUUCCACGUGGAGCGGAACAAUUUGGUGUCCUAGAAAACGACAUAUUAAUAUGUAAAAUGCGUCCCGGUCAUGAAAUCCACGUGUUUAUGCACGCAGUCAAAGGCAUCGGCCAAGAUCACGCUAAAUUUUCUCCUGUGGCCACUGCAUCAUAUCGCCUUUUGCCGGCCAUUCAGCUGACCAGCCCUGUGAGAGAUAAGGACGCGGAUCUUCUGCAGAGCUGUUUCAGCCCCGGCGUAAUAGAAGUGGUAGAACAAGAGACGAACUCGGGUCAGAAAUACCGCGAGGCGCGUGUCAAAAACGCUCGCUACGACAGCUGUACCAGAAACGUCUAUCGUUAUGAUCAACUAAAAAAUUGCGUGGAACUGAGUCGGAUAAAGGAUCAUUUUAUCUUCACCAUAGAAUCUGUGGGAACAUUACCGCCGGCCGUGCUAUUCGCGGAAGCCGUUAAAGUACUCAAGAAUAAGUGCAGAACAUUUCUCGCAGAACUGGAAAACAUAGAAAACUAAAUUCAAGCAAAAUGAUCUUCUCGGUGAGGCAAAAAUCAUCAAAAGUGGCCAUCAAAAAUUUAUCGCCGGGCAAGUUUGGCCGUGCGUCUUGUGAAUAGUAACAACAAGAUUUUGCAAGUAUGAGACGCUGGCGACAGUUGUUGAUCGUCUCCGAAGCGAUAUGUUUACAUCCUGUGUUUUUGCCAGAUUCCUGUAAUAUCCGAAUAACAAUAGACAUUUUAAUUCAAUGAUCCCCUGGGGCGACGCGUGAUUCAUUGUGAAAGCGGCCGACUGGUAGUCGACAGGUCUCACGUUCGAGUCUUGACUGUCACCUCACAUAUGUCUUGCAAUUCUUGCAAAAGAUCAGAUCCUGGGGCUUUAUAUUUCUUGAGCCUAGGGAUCUAAAAGAAAGGAGAAUGAGUGGUCUCAUAAGGCCUGGUGCGGACCGGGUUGGAGUUGACAACUCAGCCUUAAAAAUCAGAGGGAGUCACAGAUAAAUUUCUUAGUUAGAUUUACGUGAAGUUAGGGAUUUGGUAGUCCUUUUUCUAUUUUUUGUGAUCCCCUACAUCAAUAUGUAAGAUCAGCGUGACAAGAAACGCAAAUACAUUCAAGAUUAUAAUAUUCGCAAGGAAACGUUAUAAGCUUUCAUAUUGUUUAUUUAUAAUCAUCAUGUUGAUCUCCUGAGGAAAACUUUAUUAAUAUGUAAAUAUUUCAAGAGGAAAAGUAAUUUAAGGAAUCGCGCGUAAAUGUAAAAGUUAGUUUUUCGUUAGUUUAUCGUCCUUGGUAUCUGGUAGGUACUGAUGAUCAAAACGCGCCAAUAAAUUUCGCAAAUAUAAGAUAUUGAAAUAAUAAGAUAAAAGAAAUAAUAUCCUGAUUCUCACUUUAAUUGAUAUAUUUCCACUAUAUAGCGAUCAUAAAGAAACAAGUAAAUUUUAUAAUAAUCAGUAAAAUUCAAGUCUAUCACCAUUGUCGGUGUUAUUUAUAGCGCGCCGCUUUAUUUGCUUAGAAGUAUAUUUACAUGUAAUACAACAGUAACUUGACACUACUGAAUCUUUUCUACUUUGCUAUUUAUUUAAUACUAUGAAAUAUAAUAAAUAGUAAAGUGGAAUCUUAUCUAUACUUGUCAUUCCUCAUUACAAUUUGCACUUAAAAAUUGAGGAAAUUACAAAAUUGCCCAUAUAUUUUAUUAUUACUGCUAAAAUUGUUAUUAAGCACAGAAGCUCAAUGUAUAUCAAUUUUAUAUAUAUUAAUGACAUUAGCUAGAAUUAAUCAAACUCACGGGAUAUUCCGCGACCGUCAGAAUCGAUCAUUGCGCAGGUCCACAGGGGCUCGCGCUUUUACGCAUCGGUGCAUUUCAAAAUUUC